rnacentral:rRNA from 1 species
AGGGUUUGAUUAUGGCUCAGGACGAACGCUGGCGGCGCGCCUAACACAUGCAAGUCGAACGAGAGAGAAGGAGCUUGCUUCUUCGAUCGAGUGGCGAACGGGUGAGUAACGCGUGAGGAACCUGCCUCAAAGAGGGGGACAACAGUUGGAAACGACUGCUAAUACCGCAUAAGCCCACGGGUCGGCAUCGACCAGAGGGAAAAGGAGCAAUCCGCUUUGAGAUGGCCUCGCGUCCGAUUAGCUAGUUGGUGAGGUAAUGGCCCACCAAGGCGACGAUCGGUAGCCGGACUGAGAGGUUGAACGGCCACAUUGGGACUGAGACACGGCCCAG